rnacentral:rRNA from 1 species
GAUCCUGGCUCAGGAUAAACGCUGGCGGCGCACAUAAGACAUGCAAGUCGAACGGACUUAACCAUUAGUUUACUAUUGGAGCGGUUAGUGGCGGACUGGUGAGUAACACGUAAGCAACCUGCCUAUCAGAGGGGAACAACAGUUAGAAAUGACUGCUAAUACCGCAUAUACCCAAGUGUCACAUGGCACAAUGGGGAAAGGAGCAAUCCGCUGAUAGAUGGGCUUGCGU